UACGUAGGUGGCAAGCGUUGUCCAGAUUUACUGGGCGUAAAGAGCGCGCAGGCGGUCGUUCAAGUCGCGUGUGAAAGCCCCCCGGCUCAACUGGGGAGGGUCACGCGAUACUGAUCGACUCGAAGGCAGGAGAGGGUAGUGGAAUUCCCGGUGUAGUGGUGAAAUGCGUAGAUAUCGGGAGGAACACCAGUGGCGAAGGCGACUACCUGGCCUGUUCUUGACGCUGAGGCGCGAAAGCUAGGGGAGCAA
rnacentral:rRNA from 1 species